rnacentral:rRNA from 1 species
UGGGGAAUAUUGCACAAUGGGCGCAAGCCUGAUGCAGCCAUGCCGCGUGUAUGAAGAAGGCCUUCGGGUUGUAAAGUACUUUCAGCGGGGAUGAAGGGAGUAAAGUUAAUACCUUUGCUCAUUGACGUUACCCGCAGAAGAAGCACCGGCUAACUCCGUGCCAGCAGCCGCGGUAAUACGGAGGGUGCAAGCGUUAAUCGGAAUUACUGGGCGCAAAGCGCACGCAGGCGGUUUGUUAAGUCAGAUGUGAAAUCCCCGGGCUCAACCUGGGAACUGCAUCUGAUACUGGCAAGCUUGAGUCUCGUAGAGGGGGGUAGAAUUCCAGGUGUAGCGGUGAAAUGCGUAGAGAUCUGGAGGAAUACCGGUGGCGAAGGCGGCCCCCUGGACGAAGACUGACGCUCAGGUGCGAAAGCGUGGGGAGCAAACA